rnacentral:rRNA from 1 species
GACGAACGCUGGCGGCGUGCUUAACACAUGCAAGUCGAGCGGUAAGGCCCUUUCGGGGGUACACGAGCGGCGAACGGGUGAGUAACACGUGGGUGACCUGCCCUCAGCUCUGGGAUAAGCCUGGGAAACCGGGUCUAAUACUGGAUAUGACUCCAUGACGCAUGUUGUGGGGUGGAAAGCCUUGUGCGGCUGAGGAUGGGCCCGCGGCCUAUCAGCUUGUUGGUGGGGUGAGGCCUACCAAGGCGACGACGGGUAGCCGGCCUGAGAGGGCGACCGGCCACACUGGGACUGAGACACGGCCCAGACUCCUACGGGAGGCAGCAGUGGGGAAUCUUGCGCAAUGGGCGAAAGCCUGACGCAGCGACGCCGCGUGAGGGAUGGCGGCCU